AUCUAGACAAAAUGAUUUUACCUCAAACUAUGGGACACAAAGUUCGGCAACCAUUUCUCCUCUAAAGGUAAACCCUUCCAAAACUCCAAACAAUAAUGAGAAAUAAACUACUUCUACUUAUGCACCCGAGCAUUUGUCUCAUUGGUUGGUGCUGUCACAACCCGGUACUCCCCUUGAGCUAGUGACAACCGCCGUGACGUUCCGAUAAACAUUCAUUGCCUGAAAUGCCAACUAGAACCUCGCAAGGCUUUAAUAUCAGUUUCUCAUUUCCCUUGUGAGUAACCGUUGCCAAAUAUCAUGUUCUAAAAGAUUUUAAGCUAUUUUCAACUUAAAUCAAUAAAAAAAAUGAUUUUUGUCUCACAGGGGCAUUUUGGUCAGUUUUCCUUGAAAAUCUCGAAACCAGCUAAAAAUGUAGUAUGCGAGUGAAAAACACAUAUUUCAUAAUAAAAAAUAAGUUUAGAUGUCUAAAACAUUCAUUUAAAGUGAAACUAUAACUAUUUAAAUAUAAUAAAAAUAUUCAAUAAAAUAUUCUAUUUCUUAUAAAACAAUAUUUAUAGAGUUACCGGUAAAUAAUUUAUGUAGCGUAAAAGCUAAAUAAAUUCAUACAUACUGUAAUACAGAUAACCAAAGUAUAAAAUUUAAUUUACAGUGACACGUGGUCCCACGAACGAGGAUGCAAAGUAUAAAAUCAAAAGCGGUAAACCUACAGUUUUUGAGGAUGCAAGUCCAACUGUAGCCCUCAACAAAGUGAGCUAUCUACUGACUAUCCUAAGCCUGAAAUGGGUAAAAAUGAGGGUGGUGAGAUUAUAUAAUCCUAGUGAGUAAACAAAUACCAUCUAAAAUAUCUAAAGCUGAGUAAAUGGAGAUAGAUUAAAAUAGAUCAUCAUAUUGUAAUCCAUCACCUUUAAACUCAUUUCAACCAAAUAAAACCAAUUCAUAUAAAUCGAGUAAUCAACAUGGCUUAUGAAUUUCUUAAAACUUUGGCUCGUGCCAAAAUCAUUCUUAUACUCAGUUAUCAGGGAUACCUUGGCCUGGGGCUAUCCCAACCGAGUCCGCCAAGGUUGUUAAAAAGUCAUGUACGCAUAAAUCAUGUUUUUAUUUUGAAAACAUAGCCGUUCCUUGGCGUUGGCUGAGUUCACCCUCACGUGGUGGUUUGGCGUGAAGUGAACUCUAAAGUUGUACCUCGGGAGUUACCCUACAUGUCUCUCUGACCGAGGUAAGAAUAUAACAGGGUUACCGUGCCCCUUUAAUAGGCUAGUCCACGGAACCGCCCACUGCAGCAAGCUAAACCCACCAUACGAUAAAAUUUGCAAUAGCAUGACAUGACAAUUAUAUCACAAUCCAACCUCUCAAGGCUAAAUACACAGUUCAUAUAUUACAACAUAAAUACCAAUUUAGCCAUUCAUGCAAAUAUUGUCAUAAGCCAUUCGAUUCAAACCAUGAAUUUACAACACAUGAAAACAGUCUCCAAGUACUCUAUUUUCAAAACCAUCAUUCAAUUUCAUAAAAUCAUUUUCAUUUAAUCCCAUUUUGCUUAUAAAACAUAAAUAUUUACCAUUUAAACUCAUUUUUCAUAAAAUCACAAAAUCGGAUAAAAUCACUUUAGAUAAUUAAGAUGAUGUAAGGUUACUCACUAUUUCGGGAGUCGAAUUUUGAGUACUCCGAUUCUUGAUCCUCGGGUACUAUCUCUUUACUUUUGCCAGAAUGCUCACCACCUAGACAUAAUGCACAAUAAGCCAUUUACUAAAUUUGUGCUAAAUUUUUAUAAAACCAAUUCAGGCUCUAUAUUAAUGCAUGAAAUGGGGUGUGAAAUACUCGGGUAACUAUCUAAAUAUGGUGUUCAAUAUAAUUUCAAUUAUGUACCUAAAUAAAAUGGUAUUGGCCUAACUCGAUCUAUCACCCGAUUAAUUGGCAAUACGUCCAAUUUAACUCCAAUUAACUCCAUUUUUCUUCCAAUUCCCCAAACCAUCAAACACAAGUCAAAUAGCAUAAAAUUUAGCAAAAUCAUCCUCACAUUUCUUCUUGAGAAUUUCGGCCAUGGUGAGUGCAUCAACACUAUGAUUUUUCCUACCUGAUUUUCUCACCAUAAUUCAUCAUUUCCUAACCAAUUCACUUGAAAUAAAAUCAAAAUCAUCAUCAAUAUUCCAAAUGGAGAAUUUGGCCAAUGAUGGGUUAUGGAAGAACAUGAAUUUUUCUUGCUUGAUUUUUUAUGCUACACAUUACCAAUCAACUAAAAACACUAAAAUAUCUCAAAAUCUAACCAAAUAAAUCAUCAAAUCUUCUCUCUCUAAAUUCAGUCAGUCAUGAAUCCUUCAUGAUAUCUUGUGAUUCAACCAUGGAAAAUGCAAAAGAAUGUAUGGGAAAGGUAGAUCACAGGUCAAAAUAAGAAAUUUUACCUUUGAUUGGUUGAUUACUUGAAAUCCACCAAUUUUCUCUUGAAUUUUCACCCUAGGGUUCUUGUUCUUUCUUUUCUUCCUUUGUUCUUGCUUU
rnacentral:lncRNA from 1 species